rnacentral:rRNA from 1 species
AUUGAACGCUGGCGGCAGGCCUAACACAUGCAAGUAGAACGAGUGGCGGACGGGUGAGUAAUGUCUGGGAAACUGCCUGAGGGCGGGGGAUAACUACUGGAAACGGUAGCUAAUACCGCAUACCAUCGGAUGUGCCCAGAUGGGAUUAGCUAGUAGGGGGGGUAAAGGCUCACCUAGGCGACGAUCCCUAGCGGGUCUGAGAGGAUGACCAGCCACACUGGAACUGCGACACGGUCCAGAUUCCUCCGGGAGGCAGCAGUGGGGAAUAUUGCACAAUGGGCGCAAGCCUGAUGCGGCGAUGCCGCGUGUAUGAAGAAGGCCUUCGGGUUGUAAAGUACUUUCAGCGGGGAGGCGUUACCCGCAGAAGAAGCACCGGCUAACUCCGGGCCAGCAGCCGCGGUAAUAC